CGGGGGGAGCAAGCGUUGUUCGGAUUAACUGGGCGUAAAGGGCGCGUAGGCGGCGCAACAAGUCACUUGUGAAAUCUCCGGGCUUAACCCGGAGCGGCCAAGUGAUACUGUCGUGCUAGAGUGCGGAAGGGGCUACUGGAAUUCUCGGUGUAGUGGUGAAAUGCGUAGAUAUCGAGAGGAACACCUGCGGCGAAGGCGGGUAGCUGGGCCGACACUGACGCUGAGGCGCGAAAGCCAGGGGAGCGAACGGGAUUAGAUACCCCGGUAGUCCUGGCCUUAAACGAUGGAUGCUUGGUGUCCGGGGUUACAUAGUCCCCGGGUGCCGGCGCUAACGCAUUAAGCAUCCCGCCUGGGGAGUACGGUCGCAAGACUG
rnacentral:rRNA from 1 species